UGCGGCCGUACGGAUCGUCCGGCAGAAAGAAGGCAUCCAUCGCCCACGUGUAACCGGCCACUCGCGUUUCGAUGAUCUUUUUCCAAGCUGAGGAUGAGAAUUUCAGAAAACAGAGGGGAAUCAAGUCAAGUGUGAAUAGUCACGAAAGUUGUCGUUGGAGAUGACGACGCCAUCGAACUUUUCCGCCACGGAGAUGAUCAACCGGUCGUCGUAGGAGGACGAUUUUUGACCCGGGAGAUUUUUGCUGGGCGCCAACAGGAUGUCACCCUUUUUAUACAGUUCCUCCAGGAGCCUGUGGUCGGUGGAUUUUUCCCUUUUCAGUCUGAAAGUAGUCGAAUAAACAAGAAUGAGCUCUAAUAUUGGACGUAACUGAUAUUUUGUAAAGCGAAAUAAAUCAUUAAAAAAAACUGUGGACAACAUAUGAGUAUGGCAACACUGCUGUAAGAAAAUAUGUAGGUAUAUGCUUUGUAAAAUAAUGGAAAAGUUUCUAAAACAUCCUCAACAGCAAAAAAAAACUUUAUAAUAAAAAUAAUAAGACAUUUCAGUAACGGAAUCAGUUGCAGUCCCAGAA